UGGGUACUACCAUGAAGUAUUUAAAUUACAUAAAGCCAUCAUUUUUAAUGAUGUGUGUGCUAUCUAUUUUUCUAGCUUAAAGAAUUGUUGUGGAUAUAAAAAUCCAUGUAUAUUAAUAUGUAAUAUAAGUCCAUAUUAAAUAUUAGACCAUGUCAAAUUUGCUAGGUGUGCUUGCAAAUAAUUAGUGUUAUGGACCAUAUAUUGCCUUUACGUAAAGAUGGGUAAUAAGAGUCCAAGUUAUAUAAAUUGGGCCAAAUUAAUUUUUUCAUGUAGACAUUCAAGUCUUCUUUAUUUUAUUAAUAUAAUAUGAGUGCAUUGAGCCCAAAGCAAAGUUGUGCCCAGCCUUGCAUUAGACCCAAUUCGGCAGACAUAUUGGAGAAAAAAAGAGGAACUGUUAGUUCAAAUUAAAAGAGCAGUGAGAUGGUUGUUGGUCAGUCAGUAAGCUAACAGUUAGUUAGCAAUUAAGUUAGUAGCUAUAAGGUGUAGAGUGGCUGUAGGAGCCAAGUUCAUUGCAUGAGCCAAGUAGCUACUAGAGGACUGAAUAGGGGCCAACAUAGGGGCCAAAGAGACUGCAGAGAAGUAGGAGGAUGCUAAGCCUUGUAGGGGCUAUGUAGUGGUAAUGAUAAAAGUCAAAAUAGGGGCCGGGUAGGGGCCUAAAGAGAGCAUCCAGGUAGAGAUAAUUAUGAAGAGCAGCAAUAAGCCAAGUAGGCUGAUUGAGAGAGAGAGAGAAAGAGAGAGAAAAAGUUCAGCCAUAUAUGACCAUACACUGCACCUGAAAACAAAUAACUUCUAUACUUAACCGUGUGUGUGGUGUGUGAAGUAAAUG
rnacentral:lncRNA from 1 species